GAUGAACGCUGGCGGCAUGCCUAACACAUGCAAGUCGAUCGGUAAGGCUCUUCUUGGUCCUCGAUUGGCGGACGGCCGGGUGAGUCGUAGGUACACACCCUGCAGGUAGGGAUGAGACACGGCAGGAUGUGCUAAUACCUCCUACGUUCUUCGUGUUAAAGCAUUUAUGCGCUGUAGGGGUUUCCUGCGUCCUGUUGGAUAGUUGUUGAGGUAAUGGCUCACCAAGUCGAGGAUGUGUAGCUGGGCUGAGAGGAUGAUCAGCCAGACUGGAGCUGAGACACGGUCCAGACUCCUACGGGAGGCAGCAGUGCGGAAUACAGCACAAUGGGCGGUAGGUUGAUGGAGUUAGGACGCGAGAAGGAUGAAGGCUGUGGGGAUGGAAACUGCUUUUAUACGAGAAGAUUAUGACGGUAACUAAAGAAUAAGCAACGGCUAACUACGUG
rnacentral:rRNA from 1 species